AGUGAACGCUGGCGGUAGGCCUAACACAUGCAAGUCGAACGGCAGCACAGUAAGAGCUUGCUCUUACGGGUGGCGAGUGGCGGACGGGUGAGGAAUACAUCGGAAUCUACUUUUUCGUGGGGAAUAACGUAGGGAAACUUACGCUAAUACCGCAUACGACCUACGGGUGAAAGCAGGGGAUCUUCGCACCUUGCGCGAUUGAAUGAGCCGAUGUCGGAUUAGCUAGUUGGCGGGGUACAGGCCCACCCAGGCGACGAUCCGUAGCUGGACUGAGAGGAUGGUCAGCCACACUGGAACUGAGACACGGUCCAGACGCCUACGGGAGGCAGCAGUGGGGAAUAUUGGACAAUGGGCGCAAGCCUGGUCCAGCCAUACCGCGUGGGUGAAGAAGGCCUUCGGGUUGUAAAGCCCUUUUGUUGGGAAAGAAAAGCAGCAGGUUAAGACCCCGCUGUUCUGACGGUACCCAAAGAAGAAGCACCGGCUAACUUCGUG
rnacentral:rRNA from 1 species